rnacentral:rRNA from 2 species
UGAGACAGGUGCUGCAUGGCUGUCGUCAGCUCGUGUUGUGAAAUGUUGGGUUAAGUCCCGCAACGAGCGCAACCCUUAUCCUUUGUUGCCAGCGAUUCGGUCGGGAACUCAAAGGAGACUGCCAGUGAUAAACUGGAGGAAGGUGGGGAUGACGUCAAGUCAUCAUGGCCCUUACGAGUAGGGCUACACACGUGCUACAAUGGCAUAUACAAAGAGAAGCGACCUCGCGAGAGCAAGCGGACCUCAUAAAGUAUGUCGUAGUCCGGAUUGGAGUCUGCAACUCGACUCCAUGAAGUCGGAAUCGCUAGUAAUCGUGGAUCAGAAUGCCACGGUGAAUACGUUCCCGGGCCUUGUACACACCGCCCGUCACACCAUGGGAGUGGGUUGCAAAAGAAGUAGGUAGCUUAACCUUCGGGAGGGCGCUUACCACUUUGUGAUUCAUGACUGGGGUGAAGUCGUAACAAGGUAACCGUAGGGGAACCUGCGGUUGGAUCACCUCCUUACCUUAAAGAA